CUGUGCUGAUGAGCUUAGAUUUGACUGACUUGGUAUUGCUGGCCUCUGGGUCGACUCUGACCAGGAAAUGACUUUACUUAAUUUUCUCUCUGAGCAG